CAGAUUACACUUGUACACCGUUUAACACUCAAGAACAAACAGAUACUCGGGCAUGGUGGUCUCCUCCAACUGAAGGACAUGGUGGUCUCCUCCAACUGAAGGGCAUGGUGGUCUCCUCCAACUGAAGAGCAUGUUGCUGCUCGCCUCCCACUGUGUCAGGUUAUGAAGCAGCUGAGGUCCAUUUAAAGCCCCAAACAGACUCCAGGAGAAAGAAGGACGAGGAAAGACUUCUGACAGUCAGUUGGAAGAGAGGGGUUGACUUCUGACAGUCAGGUGGAAGAGGGGGGUUGACCUCUGACAGUCAGGUGGAAGAGGGGGGUUGACCUCUGACAGUCAGGUGGAAGAGGGGGAGGGAGCUGUCUUCUGACAGUCAGGUGGAAGGAGGGGAGCUGUCUUCUGAAGAAUGUUCAACUUUCUCACAUGUAUACACACCACUCAGACACACUCAGACACACCAUUUUCAGACACCAUUUUCAGACACCAUACUCAGACACCAUACUCAGACACACCCAUUAUUAAAAGUAAUUUAAUGUCAUUUAAUUUGAUUUCUCGUUUAGAUUCAAUAAAAUAUUGUUACUAGUUCUCCACUGUGUUUUCAUUUCAGAGGUUGAAUGUCAAACAGGAUGGAGUGAAGUAACAUAGGAUCAUAUCUCAGGGAAUGUCAAACAGGAAGGAGUGAAGUAACAUAGGAUCAUAUCUCAGGGAAUAUCAAACAGGAAGGGAGAUUUAAAGCAGAACAGUGAAGUAACAGCAAAUACGUUGAAUGAGCAACUUCUGAGCAUGUAGAUCCUCACAAGGUUGACGAAAUUACCUCAUAUCUUUCUGUCUAAUAUGGCUAUUUACUGCUGUUGCCCUCAUUAGAGGCUUUCUGUAAGUAGUUAGGCCUAACUGUCCUGUCCAAGUUUAGCUGGAAUUUAGCCCCAAAGGAUUUAAGAGGAUUGGUUGACUACAGGCCUAACUGUCCUGUCCAAGUUUAGCUGGAAUUUAGCCCCAAAGGAUUUAAGAGGAUUGGUUGACUACAGGCCUAACUGCCCUGUCCAAGUUUAGCUGGAAUUUAGCCCCAAAGGAUUUAAGAGGAUUGGUUGACUACAGGCCUAACUGUCCUGUCCAAGUUUAGCUGGAAUUUAGCCCCAAAGGAUUUAAGAGGAUUGGUUGACUACAGGCCUAACUGUCCUGUCCAAGUUUAGCUGGAAUUUAGCCCCAAAGGAUUUAAGAGGAUUGGUUGACUACAGGCCUAACUGUCCUGUCCAAGUUUAGCUGGAAUUUAGCCCCAAAGGAUUUAAGAGGAUUGGUUGACUACAGGCCUAACUGUCCUGUCCAAGUUUAGCUGGAAUUUAGCCCCAAAGGAUUUAAGAGGAUUGGUUGACUACAGGCCUAACUGUCCUCUCCAAGUUUAGCUGGAAUUUAGCCCCAAAGGAUUUAAGAGGAUUGGUUGACUACAGGCCUAACUGUCCUCUCCAAGUUUAGCUGGAAUUUAGCCCCAAAGGAUUUAAGAGGAUUGGUUGACUACAGGCCUAACUGUCCUGUCCAAGUUUAGCUGGAAUUUAGCCCCAAAGGAUUUAAGAGGAUUGGUUGACUACAGGCCUAACUGUCCUCUCCAAGUUUUGUCACAAAAAUAUAAACACAACAAUGUUGGUCCCAUGUUUCAUGAGCUGAAAUAAAA
rnacentral:lncRNA from 1 species